ensembl:lncRNA
CGCAAAAGAAGCAGAUCGUAUUCGCUUGGCUAGGAGCUUCGACAUCUAGGCGAUAGUUCCUGACUCACCAACGACAUCUCCCGUGCCCCCACCGAUUCUCCCGGGGGCCUCCAACUCAUCGAUGCUGGCUGGGAUUGCGGCACAGCAGCACCGUGGAAAAGGGCUGUGUUUUUACCAUCAGCGUGACAGUGCCGUGCCACCUUUGCCCAGGGAAAUGACCCCGCCAGCGCUCUCUAGCAGCCGCGAUAAGGAAAGGCUGCUCUUAAUAGAGGACUCACGCUCGGGGAGACGUUUUCUGGUCGACUCCGGCUCCCAGAAGAGCCUCGGGAACUCUUGUGUCAUCUUUGCAUACCUCCACAAUGGAUGUCAGAACAGCCUCCCAGAGCUGCUGUUUGGAUGUGAACUGCCUCCCACCCUCAUAAUUUUUUGCUUGAGGAUGCUCCACAGGUUCUCAAUAGGAUUGAAAUCAGGGAAGGGCCACUCCAUGAGUUCCUCUCCUUUUACGCCGAUAGCAGCCAAUGAUGCAGAGGUAUUCCUUGUAGCAUGAAGAUGGUUGUGUUGCAGAAAGCACAGUUCUUCUCUUUCUACCAUGGAAGAAAGUGGUCAGUCAGAAACUCCACAUCCUUUGCAGAGGUCAUUUUCACACCUUCAGGGAGCCUAAAGGGGCCGACCAGCUCUCUCCCCGUGAUUCCGGCUCAGUACAUGACUCCACCACCUCUUUGCUGACGACGCAGCCUUAUUGGGACAUAGUGGCCAUCCACCAACCAUCCACAACUGCAUCCAUCUGGACCAUCCAGGGUUGCACUGCACUCAUCUGUGACCAAGACUGUUUGAAAAUUAGUCUUCAUGUAGUUCUGG